AACUUACGCCAAACGAUUCCUCUGAGUGCCCUGAUGACCGUACACUAUGAAUUUUCUUGUGCAAAUUGAAAAUAACAUUACAAAAAUAAUUUUUAUUUUCACUCAUUUCACUUGAAUCGCCAUUUUUGUUGAUUUUAAGGGAUACAACGUUCGCCACCAGGGUGUGCAUGCGUUGCGUGUGCUUAUUUCUGAUUGGUUGUUAUUGUUUAGCUUCAACAGGUAAGAAUCGCACCUGCGUGUUUGUUAUGAUUAUAACACCUUCGGGUAUUCCCAGAAUGAAUUUAAAUGACGUAUUAUACCUUUUUCAUUAAAAAGUAGGUGUAUUUUUUCAUAUUUUGCAAUUUGAAUUUAUGUCUCUGUGCUCUGAUUGGCUGAUUGACGGAAGUGGGGAUGCAUUCCCGCAUUUCCCUUCAUGCAAUUUACCAACAACACCACUCCAUUACUAUUUUACUUACUAGUGGUGAACAAGGUAUUUUUUUGUGAGUGCUACGUUCUUGAGGUUAAUUUACCAAUCGUGGUGUGUAUUUCCUUUUAGUUAGCUGGUGCGCAGCCCCAGCCUCCGGCCACGAACUGUACGGCACCCUAGCUCCAUAAAAAACACUAUUCCACGUGUCGAGUUCCACGUUUUCGAGUUUAAUUGGUCGUGGGGUAUGUUUCCUUUUAGUUAACUGGGGCGAAGCCCCAGCCACGCGCAACAUAGUUCCAUAAAAACCACUAUUCCACGUUUCGAGUUUAAUUGUUCGUGGGGUAUGUUUAUUUUUAGUUUGCUGGGGCGAAGCCCCAGCCUGUACCCUACGACCUGUACGCGCUGUAGAUCCAUAAAAAUCACUAUUCCACGUUUCGAGUUCAACAUUUUCGAGUUUAAUCGUCCGUGGGGUAUGUUUAUUUUUAGGUCGCUGGGGCGAAGCCCCAGCCUGUACCCUACGACCUGUACGCGCUGUAGAUCCAUAAAAAUCACUAUUCCACGUUUCGAGUUCAACAUUUUCGAGUUUAAUCGUCCGUGGGGUAUGUUUAUUUUUAGGUCGCUGGGGCGAAGCCCCAGCCUGCGGGCUAUCAUCUGUAGGCGCCUUGCCUCAUUUAUAGUUAUAUUUACGGUUAAUAUCAUUUAUUAGAGUGUUAAUAAAAUUUAAAAAGUCUAGGUCAAGGUCAUUCAAAGUCGAAUUUUUCGAAAACGGGGCAUUUGCACAAACUUUCAUGGUCAUAUCUUUGAUCUAGAGGCUUUUUAAAGCAAAAUGCAAAAAAAAAAUUUUCAAAAAUCCAGAAGUAGCUAAAGUAAAAAUUUACCGGCAAAUGCUCUGGGACUCUGGGCAAAUGGUGGCAAAUGGCUGUUUGUGUGGUUUGAUCGCAAGCACGAUAUUAGACUUGAUCUUGAUUUCUGCCGAUAUUAUAGGCACAGAUUAGAGAGGUUAUAGGUGUUAUAGGUGUUAUAGGUAGCUUCGCUAAAAUUGACUAUACGUGUGUGCGACAUCUGCGAUGGCAAUCCGAACUACAGUCGAUUUUGAAUUUGGCGCCUAUACUUGGCUUGGUGCAUUUAGGUUUCACCACCCUACCCUGGGUCAUUCUGGUCAUGCAUUUCAUUUGUGAUGGACCAGGACGUUGGAAAUGGAAUAGCGCACAAAGACAAUGAUCAAAUGGAUUAUCUAGACCUAUUGGAGGUGAAAUUGUCGAUUACGAAUUUCAUCAAGAUGUCGCUAGCGGUGAAACAGGCUGGUUAUUUAUUUGGAAAAACCUGGCCUGUACCCAUAGACCAAAUAAAAAAAUUAAAAAAGACAAUACUCAAAAAGGGGAGCUUUUCAACGAGAGCAUGGUUAAUCACUGCAUAUAUUAAUUUAUUGUAAUUAUUGGGGUUUUUAAUGGUUUAAUUUGAGAUGUUUUUUUUUACUUAUCUAAUGGAUUUAUUGGGUUUUUGUAAUAAAAGUGUGGAAUCCUUUAA